rnacentral:rRNA from 1 species
AAAGAAACGGCGGCGGUGAAUAAUCGCCGUCUUGACACUAGGUUCGGAGGAAGCACCGGCUAACUCUGUGCCAGCAGCCGCGGUAAGACAGAGGGUGCAAACGUUGCUCGGAAUCGACUGGGCAUAAAGCGCACGUAGGCAGUUGUGCAAGUGCGGUGUGAAAUCCCCCGGCCUAACCGGGGAACUGCUCCGCAUACUGCACGGCUAGAGCUUGGGAGGGGAGAGUGGAACUCCUGGUGGAGCGGUGGAAUGCGUAGAUAUCAGGAGGAACGCCGGAGGUGAAAGACGACUCUCUGGCCCAAUGCUGACGCUAAGGUGCGAAAGCUAGGGGAGCAAACGGGAUUAGAUACCCCGGUAGUCCUAGCCCUAAACGAUGGGCACUAGCUAGGGGGGAUACCUAUUGUCCUCUCUGGCGAAGCAAAUGUGAUAAGUGCCCCGCCUGGGGAGUACGGUCGCAAGGCUA